rfam:Myceliophthora thermophila ATCC 42464 chromosome 6, complete sequence.
GGUCCGCUGGCUCAAUGGCAGAGCGUCUGACUACGAUUCCUUCCCUUGGGUCCCCUGGGAUUCUGAGGGUUGAUCAAGUAAUCAGGAGGUUCCAGGUUCGACCCCUGGGUGGAUCG